AGAUUGAACGCUGGCGGCAGGCCUAACACAUGCAAGUCGAGCGGUAGAGAGGUGCUUGCACCUCUUGAGAGCGGCGGACGGGUGAGUAAUGCCUAGGAAUCUGCCUAGUGGUGGGGGAUAACGUUCGGAAACGGACGCUAAUACCGCAUACGUCCUACGGGAGAAAGCGGGGACCUUCGGGCCUCGCGCCAUUAGAUGAGCCUAGGUCGGAUUAGCUAGUUGGUGAGGUAAUGGCUCACCAAGGCGACGAUCCGUAACUGGUCUGAGAGGAUGAUCAGUCACACUGGAACUGAGACACGGUCCAGACUCCGUACGGGAGGCAGCAGUGGGAAUAUGGACAAUGGGCGAAAGGCCUAGAUCCAGCCAUCGCCGCGUGUGUGAAGAAGGUCUUCGGAUUAG
rnacentral:rRNA from 1 species